rnacentral:rRNA from 1 species
UACGAGUGCCUCGAGCGUUAUCCGGAAUCAUUGGGCGUAAAGGGUGUGUAGGUGGUCGCGUUAGUCUCUCGUUAAAUUCUUCGGCUCAACCGGGGGCAUGCGAGGGAAACGGCGCGACUCGAGGGUGCAAGGGGUCUCUGGAACUCUAGGUGUAGCGGUGAAAUGCGUUGAUAUCUAGGGGAACACCAAAAGCGAAGGCAAGAGACUGGGGCACUUCUGACACUGAAACACGAAAGCGUGGGUAGCGAAUGGG